rnacentral:tRNA from 1 species
GGACGAUUAGCUCAAUGGUAGAGCGUCCGCUUCACACGCGGAAGGCUGCAGGUCCGAUCCCUGCAUCGUCCA